CGGGAGGAGGAGCAGGAGGAGGAGGAAGAGCAGGGGGUGGUUCUGGCGCCAGAAUCAAAAUUCUAAUGCAGCGCAACCCUUGGAAGAGAGCACGCCGGCGCGGGUCGAUGUGUCCUGAGGGAAGCUGCAGGCCCCAGAGAGCACGCACAAGAGCCUGCAGGGCACCGUGCAUGGGUAAAGCAAGGCGUCCUUCACUGCCUGCAGUUCUGGCAGCUUUGGAGUUUCUUUUUAGCAAAUGUCCCAUCGGAAGAGCCCCUGCAGAGUCUGGGCCUUUGAGCCCUGUUGGUAGGUUGCUGCACGCUCUCUGAUGCUGUGGACGCUUGCGCAAGUUUGGCCCGGCAUCUUCAGUAUUCUGUGUGGCUUUAAGGCAUGGAAGGCAAGGCACCGCCUCCCGCAUCCCUGCUGACAUACUUGCGGACUCGCAGCUGACUUGUAUCCCUCACCGAGAAAAGAAGGCGCAUGUGAAGAAGCAUGCACGAGCCAUCAGUGCCCCACAGCUUCAUACCCCAUAAGCACAGUCACGAUGCGCAGGCCACCUCUUCUCUCACAUUCCCUGCAAAGCACAGGAACAGUCCACCUGGUUGUCUUGAAAUGCGCACACACCCCCUCCCCAAAACUGACACCUAAACCCCUUCCACACCCCAAAUUCACAGUUGCAGGACCCUUUGCUUCUGCGUGGUGUCCUGUGGAGCACCUGCUACCACUUGGCCGGUCAGAUCGCGAGCACUGCAGCAGGCACAGGUGCCGCUUCUGCUGCUAGCACAGCUCCACAGCGCCACGGCUGCAGCCUGAAGCUCUUCCCAGCCACCAGCUGGAGGCGCUGGGCAUACACCGCAUGGCAGGGCGGGGAAAGGGCCAUUUGCCAAGGGCCGGACUACGCUGCUGAGUGGCCCUCCUGGAUUUGGGAUGGGCCAGGACAGGCAAUCCCUCCCACCACCCUGCAGUGGCGGGCACCAUUUUGUUUCAUGCCGCAUUCUACAGUGAGGAGCCGCCAUUUUGUGAAAGCGCCCAGCCCACCUGUUGCCGUGCCGCUCCCUGAUUGGCUUAGCCAGCUUUGUUUAUAAAACCCUGUCAUCUUCUCAUUCCUCCCUCUGAUUGGCUGCCUGCUUCCAGACCGGGAAGGUCUCACGUGUAGGCAAUGUUUAUGUUUCUCUAGAGCCGUGCUGGGUGUUUGCCCACGUGCUGGCACCAAGGGCUGCUGGUGGCCUCUGAGAAGAAGCCGGUAUCGGCCCCAUGCAUUGUGACAAUGCCGCUUCCAGCGGCACUGCCGCAGGGCAGGGCAGAGCCUGGCAGCCAGGAAGGCGGUGCCUUAGGAGAAAGCAUGCUUGGCAAGGACCGCCAAACAGGGCAACCUGCUGCUCAGCAGUGGGGAGUGAGGAGGAGAAAGUGUGAGAAACAGCUGUGCAAAGGCCAAGCGCAACCCUUGGAAGAGAGCACGCCGGCGCGGGUCGAUGUGUCCUGAGGGAAGCUGCAGGCCCCAGAGAGCACGCACAAGAGCCUGCAGGGCACCGUGCAUGGGUAAAGCAAGGCGUCCUUCACUGCCUGCA